CUUUUAUACCUUUUGGUCUGCCA
rnacentral:siRNA from 1 species